AACAAAAAUGGCGGCCCGCAGACUGUGGAGAAAGCUUUUAAAAGUUCCUUGCAAAAAUCAAGCUAAUUUUGUUAGAGCAGUGAGAUAUCAGUCAUGUAGAACUGUCUCUGUUGAUGCAACAGCUGUUGAUAGUGAUGCUGUUGAUGAACCACUAUUGAGCAAUGAGGGGUUCAAGUUAUAUCCAAACCACAUACCUACUACUGCUUUACAAAAGGGUCUUCUUGCUGUUGGGUCGGCAUUUAUGGGAUUGUAUGACCCUACACGACAAGACAUGAUAGCAGCCUUAGGUGAAACCACAGGGUACCCAGCACUGCAAAAGAUGCAUUCACGAAUGAUCAAUGACCCAGUUGGCCAAGAGAUACUCAGGCUCAAGCCAAGAAUAACAGGUACAACUGCUCCAUUAAAGGAGCUUAGAAAACUACCUGAUGGUACAUUGGGCAGAGAAUAUGCAAGAUUCAUGGAAAACAAUAAAAUUUCUGCAGACACAAGAACUCCAGUCAAAUUUGUUGAUGAUAAAGAAUUAGCUUACGUGAUACAAAGAUACAGAGAUNUACAUGAUUUUGUACACACACUAAGUGGCAUCCCGACUGUAAGUGUUGCAGGAGAGAUAGCUGUCAAGUGGUUUGAGAUGGUUCAUUUUGGACUGCCAAUGUGUGCUUUAGCAUCAUUCUUUGGACCAUUAAACACAAAUGUCACAUUCAAGUAAGCCACUAGUUGAUAGGAUCUGCUGGUAGGAUAUUUAGUGGUCAUGCAGCAAGCAGUCUGUCCUGAUACCAGGAGACAAGACAGAAGCAAGACCUUCUAUGGCACUACAUACCAUGGGCAGUGAACUCCGCA
rnacentral:misc_RNA from 1 species